CACUAUGCUUAGCCCUAAACCUAGAUAGUUAACCCAAACAAAACUAUCCGCCAGAGAACUACUAGCAACAGCUUAAAACUCAAAGGACUUGGCGGUGCUUUACAUCCCUCUAGAGGAGCCUGUUCUAUAAUCGAUAAACCCCGAUAAACCUCACCAUCUCUUGCUAAUUCAGCCUAUAUACCGCCAUCUUCAGCAAACCCUAAAAAGGAAGAAAAGUAAGCACAAGUGUCUUAACACAAAAAAGUUAGGUCAAGGUGUAGCCUAUGAGAUGGGAAGCAAUGGGCUACAUUUUCUACAAUUAGAACACCCACGAAAAUCCUUAUGAAACUAAGCAUUCAAGGAGGAUUUAGCAGUAAAUUUGAGAAUAGAGAGCUCAAUUGAAUCGGGCCAUGAAGCACGC
rnacentral:rRNA from 1 species